CGCCACCGGCCCCCCAGCGCACCCCCCAAGCGGAGACUGGGCUUCCUGUCGUUUUGCCAUGCACUUGUUGCAGAAACAGCCAAGGCCCCGGCUCCGGAGGAUGCGGACGGAGGAAGGCCCUGGAGCAGCCCAGCCCUGAAUGCAUCACUCUCGCCUCCUGCAACAGGUGUGUGCAGCCUCUUCUCACCGUGGUGGUGUCUGCACUGUACCUCAGCCCGGGUGAGGAUGUAAAGCCCCCCGCUCUGCACACGCGUGGUCCCGGCCGGCAGGAACCCCCAGCCCCAGCCACCCUCACAGCCAUGUCAGCCGUGGAGUAGCGCGGACACCUCCUCUCAGCUUCUCAGGGUUUCAGUCUUUUCGGGUUUUCUUCAUUUACCUUUUUUUAUGGUUUUGUGGCUGGACGUUGACAACCAAGUCACAGGCACCAUGGGGGAUCAGCAGUUGUACAAGAGCAACCAUGUGGCCCACGGUGGUGAGAACCUCUUCUACCAACAGCCACCCCUUGGUGUUCACGGCGGGCUGAACCACAGCUAUGGGAGUUCAGCCGCAGGCGGCGGAAUGGACGCCCCUCAAGCUUCGCCCAUCUCCCCCCACUUCCCCCAAGAUACUCGGGAUGGUCUGAACUUGCCUAUUGGCUCCAAAAACCUUGGUCAGAUAGAUACCUCGAGACAGGGAGGCUGGGGAGACCACACAGGGCCUGGCAACCAUGUCCAGCUCCGCGGCAACCUGACCAAUUCCAACAUGAUGUGGGGGCCUCCCGCCCAAGUGGAGCCCGCUGAUGGCUAUCAGUACACCUACUCCCAGGCCAGCGAGAUCCGAACCCAGAAGCUCACCAGCGGCGUCUUACAUAAGCUGGACUCCUUCACCCAGGUGUUUGCCAACCAAAACCUGCGAAUCCAGGUCAACAACAUGGCCCAGGUGCUGCACACCCAGUCGGCAGUGAUGGAUGGAGCCCCUGACAGUGCCCUCCGCCAGUUGCUGUCUCAGAAGCCCAUGGAGACCCCGGCAGCAGCUUUGCCAUCCCGGUACCAGCAGGUGCCGCAGCAGCCUCCCCCUGGUUUCACAGGUGGGCUGUCCAAGCCGGCCCUGCAGGUGGGGCAGCACCCUGCCCAAGGGCACCUGUAUUAUGACUACCAGCAGCCCCUGGCCCAGCUGCCGAUGCAGGGAGGACAGCCGCUGCAGGGCCCCCCGGUGCUGUCCCAGCCCGUGCCACAGACGCAGCAUCAGUAUUAUCCCCAGCACCACGCGGGACAGCAGCGUCUCUCCAUGCAGGAAAUGCAGGUGCAGCCUCCACAGCAGCAGCAGCCGCGCGCGCCUCAGCCCCAGCAGCAGCCUCGGCAAGGUCCGAUGCAGAUACCUCAGUAUUAUCAGCCCCAGCCCAUGCAGCACUUGCAAGAGCAGCAACAGACGUCGAUGCACCUGCAGCCCCCUUACUACCACAGGGACCCCCACCAGUACACCCCGGAGCAGGCACAUGCCGUGCAGCUGAUUCAGCUGGGCUCCAUGGCCCCCUACUACUACCAGGAGCCCCAGCAGGCCUACAGCCACCCGCUGUACCAGCAGAGCCACCUGCCCCAGCACCAGCUGCGGGAGGAUAGUCAGCUGAAGACUUAUUCCAGUGACAGGCAGGCCCCGGCCCUGCUGGGUUCCCAGGGGGACCCGACGCCUUCUGAUACGGGAAUGGGAGACCCGGCCAGCUCAGACCUGACCCGGGUCAGCAGCGCUCUCCCCCACCGGCCAAUCCUGUCCCCCACAAGUGGGAUUCACCUCAACAACACAGGCCCUCAGCAUCCGCAGCCGUCUCCCAGUGCCAUGUGGCCUCAGAUGCACCUACCUGAUGGGAGAGCCCAGCCAGCCUCCCCCGAGUCAAGUGGCCAACCCAAAGGAGUAUUUGGGGAGCCGUUCGAUGCCAAGGGCAAGCUGACGUGCCCCAUCUGCCUGAAGGAAUUCAAGAGCCUGCCCGCACUGAAUGGCCACAUGCGGUCCCACGGCGGGAUGAGGGCCUCCCCCAGCCUCAAACAGGAGGAAGGAGAGAAGGCCCUGCCGCCUCAGCCCCAGCAGCCACUGCCGCCUCCGCCUCCGCCGCCACCGCCACCGCAGCUCCCUCCCGAGGCAGAAAGCCUCACGCCUAUGGUCAUGCCCGUGUCUGUCCCUGUCAAGCUUCUCCCGCCCAAGCCCAGCUCUCAGGGGUUCACCAACAGCGUUGCUGCCGCCCCCUCCGCCAGAGACAAGCCAGCCAGCUCCGUGUCGGACGACGAGAUGCCCGUGCUCGACCAGCCCCCGGAGGCCCGCCCCCGCGGCCGAGGAGCCCCGCGCCGGCGAGAGGAGG
rnacentral:lncRNA from 1 species